UACAGAGACUGCGAGCGUUAUUCGGAUUCACUGGGCGUAAAGGGUGCGCAGGCGGCCGUGUGUGUAAGGUGUGAAAUCCCGGGGCUCAACCCCGGAACUGCGCCUUAAACUACAUGGCUAGAGUACUGGAGAGGGUAGCGGAAUUCACGGUGUAGCAGUGAAAUGCGUAGAUAUCGUGAGGAACACCAGAGGCGAAGGCGGCUACCUGGACAGUUACUGACGCUCAGGCACGAAAGCGUGGGGAGCAAAAGGG
rnacentral:rRNA from 2 species